GGAGAGCUUCCCCCAAAGAUUGGAGGGGAUGAGUCAGGGGCAAGGAAGGAUUAACAGAUUCUGCCUCAAGGCCUGGUGAACCAAGUCCUCUUCCCAAGACAGACGCGUACUAGUGAUGUAAAUUGGAUUUAAAUCAUCACCUGAGGCAAUCCUGAAAGAGAAAAGCAGUCCUAGAAAAGAGUGGAGGAAAAGAGGACAGCCCCAUUCUCUUUGUGACCACGAAGACUGCCACCAUGUGGAUGGGAGCCACGUGACUUCCUUUAGUGCCAGCUGAGAUUCUUCUGCCCUGGAACUAGUUCCUCAGAGUUAUUGCCAGGCCUGGAGAUUGAAUUCCUGCACCUGGAAGGUGGGGAAAGACAUAACCCCUCAAAACCAAAGCGGAACCUCUUCUAGGAGCUGAGAGAUGCAAGCCUGGGUUGAGAUGAAGACUCAAGUGGAGAAUCAGAACUCUGGAGCGUUACAAUCAUAGUAGGGAAGACAGAUGUGUGCAGGAAACCCAACGAUCAAGGCAAGGAGAGAAGUUGGAAGCCAGAAGUAAAGUUGGUAAUAAAAGAGUCAGAAGCAAAAUGAGGCAAGUUGAAAGGAAGGAAUGGCCAUGAAUGACUCUGACUUGGCUUUGCUAACAGAAAGUAUGUGCAUUACUUACUGGGCGGGCUAAGCAUAGCCAUGGUGGCCUAAUAGUGCUACACCAGGUUG